AGUGAACGCUGGCGGUAGGCCUAACACAUGCAAGUCGAACGGCAGCACAGUAAGAGCUUGCUCUUACGGGUGGCGAGUGGCGGACGGGUGAGGAAUACAUCGGAAUCUACUUUUUCGUGGGGGAUAACGUAGGGAAACUUACGCUAAUACCGCAUACGACCUACGGGUGAAAGCAGGGGAUCUUCGGACCUUGCGCGAUUGAAUGAGCCGAUGUCGGAUUAGCUAGUUGGCGGGGUAAAGGCCCACCAAGGCGACGAUCCGUAGCUGGUCUGAGAGGAUGAUCAGCCACACUGGAACUGAGACACGGUCCAAACUCCUUCGGGAAGCAGCAGUUGGGAAUAUUGGACAAUGGGCGCAAGCCUUAUCCAGCCAUACCGCGUUGGUUGAAGAGGCCUUCGGGUUUGAAAGGCCUUUUUUUGGGAAAGAAAAGCAGCAGGUUAAUACCCCGCUGUUCUGACGGUACCCAAAGAAUAAGCGCCGGCUAACUUCGUG
rnacentral:rRNA from 1 species